rnacentral:rRNA from 1 species
UACGGAGGAUGCAAGCGUUAUCCGGAAUGAUUGGGCGUAAAGCGUCCGCAGGUGGCUGUGUAAGUCUGCUGUCAAAGAGCAAAGCUCAACUUUGUAAAGGCAGUGGAAACUACACGGUUAGAGUGCGUUCGGGGCAGAGGGAAUUCCUGGUGUAGCGGUGAAAUGCGUAGAUAUCUGGAGGAACACCGGUGGCGAAGGCGGCCCUCUGGACCGGUACUGACGCUGAUGCGCGAAAGCGUGGGUAGCAAACGGG